CAUGCAAGUCGCGGGGCAGCAUGAAUUUAGCUUGCUAAAUUUGAUGGCGACCGGCGCACGGGUGAGUAACGCGUAUCCAACCUUCCCUUAUCCACGGGAUAGCCCGUCGAAAGGCGGAUUAAUACCGUAUGAGGUCACAUGACGGCAUCCGAUUGUGACGAAAGGUUUGGCGGAUAAGGAUGGGGAUGCGUCCGAUUAGCUUGUUGGCGGGGUAACGGCCCACCAAGGCUACGAUCGGUAGGGGUUCUGAGAGGAAGGUCCCCCACAUUGGAACUGAGACACGGUCCAAACUCCUACGGGAGGCAGCAGUGAGGAAUAUUGGUCAAUGGGCGAGAGCCUGAACCAGCCAAGUAGCGUGCAGGACGACGGCCCUAUGGGUUGUAAACUGCUUUUAUGCGGGGAUAAACUGCGCCACGUGUGGCGCAUUGCAGGUACCGCAUGAAUAAGGACCGGCUAAUUCCGUGCCAGCAGCCGCGGUAAUACGGAAGGUCCGGGCGUUAUCCGGAUUUAUUGGGUUUAAAGGGAGCGUAGGCCGCUGUUUAAGCGUGUUGUGAAAAACCGGGGCUCAACUCCGGUCGUGCAGCGCGAACUGGACGGCUUGAGUGCGCGGUAAGUGGGCGGAAUUUGUGGUGUAGCGGUGAAAUGCUUAGAUAUCACGAAGAACUCCGAUUGCGAAGGCAGCUCACUGUAGCGCAACUGACGCUGAAGCUCGAAAGUGCGGGUAUCGAACAGGAUUAGAUACCCUGGUAGUCCGCACGGUAAACGAUGGAUGCCCGCUGUUCCGGCUUUUAGCUGGAGUGGCCAAGCGAAAGCGUUAAGCAUCCC
rnacentral:rRNA from 1 species